AGCAACAAACAGAUCUCCUCAAGGUAAGUCUGUUGGCUGUGUUUUAAUGAGGACCAUCGCUGGACUUCAGGAUCUUCCUCCGUUCAGCUCAAGGUGAGGCGCUGGUUCUGUUUUUUCUUUGGUUGGUUCCGGCCGGAAUGUUCGGAUUCCAGUCGGACGGUUUGUGCUUCCCGCCGUGGAAGGUUCUGAGUGCGGUCACUUGAUUUAGUCCCAAUGGUUAGCAUAGAACGUUGUAGUCUUAACAACCAUAAGAAACCACCUGGCAGUUAGUUGGACGGGCAUCUGGCGGAACGUUCUGGGUUGUAUUUGCGUAACCUCGAGCCGUUGCCAACGGAAACAAUUUUUUCAGUCGGUUCCCAUUGGGAAUUGUUGCCCCUAUCUUAAACAACUUAAGUUUUGAUGUUACUAAUACAUACUGACACGUACGUCUUACAAUAUGUUAAUUUCCGAUCGUUGCGCCGUACUUUUAACCACGAUGACGUGACGGGACUCUCGCUGCGUACAAAACAGCGUUCUACUUGCGGGCCCAUUUUUGACAUCAGGAAAGGCUGAAAAUCAUUUCAAGGUGGAAGAUAAUUUGACAUUUCUUCAACGGAACCCAGCACCUGAAUAUGGCUGAGUAUAUUUGAUUUAAUAUCGAUACUGCUUAGUGUUCUUUGUUACUUCAGCUUUUGUACGUUCUAAAUAUCUGCUGUCAUUAAUUGCCACAGAAGUUAAACCCUACCCAAUGGAAUGACGUUAAACAACGACUUUGGUGCAGAGUUACCAACUGGAUAAUAUCAAAGCUAAAAUGAUGGCCGUCAUUCCCACAUGUUACAGUAGAAGAUACUCUAGAACUGUACAAGGUUAAAAAGGUAACAUGUAGUUUGUCCCAAGGUGUCUGCCUCCUCACCCAGAGCAAGACCUCCACCUCCUCACCCAGAGCCAGGACUCCACCUCCUCACCCAGAGCCAGACCUCCACCUCCUGUCAGAAGUCCUCCAAAACAGCUGAAAGGCGAGGCUGAGAGGCUGGGGACCGGAGGCUUGUGGUGCCAGGGUGGACCGGAGACUGAGGCUGGAGACCAGGGGCCUGCAGCACCGGACCAGAGGAACGUGUUUCUGGAGCGGAGGCGAGCUGGUAGGGGAGCCGUGAAUCUGGAGGAUGACCAUCACUCUACCAACAAGGAUUACUUUAGGGCCAGACUCGCGCUGUUUGUUCCAGACCAGGACUCUGGCUGAGGAGAGCUGAUGGAGGAGCCAAGGCUCUGGAGGACGACAUCACUCCACCAACCAGGAUCCUUAGACAAAUUACGUUUGUAACAGACCAGGAAUCUGGAGGACUGAUGGAGAAGGUGGAAGGCAAAUCCUGAGGACCACCAGGACUCUACCAUCAAGGAUUCCUCAUAAGUUUGCAUUAUCUGGACAUAGUGGACUAGACACACCUGAGCUGAACCCGCCCUGAUCCUGACAUCAUGCUGGUCCCGUCUCCUCAGUUCAUCUGAGCCUCGUCCUCCAGAAGACCUGCUGAGCUCAGCAGUCUGAGGCUGAUGGAUCAAUGACCUCCAGUGGGAGUGAUCUUCCUGACCCCACAUGUAACCGUGUGCUUCCACACGCCUUUCCCUCACGUCUGUCACUAACCUCACUACUUCACUACUCUCUACUGCUUCCUCUUUUCUUCCUUCUCUGUGGUUCGAACCUUUACACGGAAGGCGCGUCUUCCUGCCCUCAGAGGGUUCAGCGUUAGGGUUGAGAGUCAGGGUUUAGAGUCAGGGACAGAGCUGGUCAGGGAGGACUGCUUUUACGCAAACCUCUUCACUUGCUUUCGGAAUGGUGGUGACAUUUUGAAAAGUUUCAUUUGGGAAAAUGUUUUCCUCUGCUUUCCUUUACAAAAUU
ensembl:lncRNA